rnacentral:rRNA from 1 species
CAUGCAAGUUGAGCGAUGAAGAUUGGUGCUUGCACCAAUUUGAAGAGCAGCGAACGGGUGAGUAACGCGUGGGGAAUCUGCCUUUGAGCGGGGGACAACAUUUGGAAACGAAUGCUAAUACCGCAUAAUAACUUUAAACAUAAGUUUUAAGUUUGAAAGAUGCAAUUGCAUCACUCAAAGAUGAUCCCGCGUUGUAUUAGCUAGUUGGUGAGGUAAAGGCUCACCAAGGCGAUGAUACAUAGCCGACCUGAGAGGGUGAUCGGCCACAUUGGGACUGAGACACGGCCCAAACUCCUACGGGAGGCAGCAGUAGGGAAUCUUCGGCAAUGGACGAAAGUCUGACCGAGCAACGCCGCGUGAGUGAAGAAGGUUUUCGGAUCGUAAAACUCUGUUGGUAGAGAAGAACGUUGGUGAGAGUGGAAAGCUCAUCAAGUGACGGUAACUACCCAGAAAGGGACGGCUAACUACGUGCCAGCAGCCGCGGUAAUACGUAGGUCCCGAGCGUUGUCCGGAUUUAUUGGGCGUAAAGCGAGCGCAGGUGGUUUAUUAAGUCUGGUGUAAAAGGCAGUGGCUCAACCAUUGUAUGCAUUGGAAACUGGUAGACUUGAGUGCAGGAGAGGAGAGUGGAAUUCCAUGUGUAGCGGUGAAAUGCGUAGAUAUAUGGAGGAACACCGGUGGCGAAAGCGGCUCUCUGGCCUGUAACUGACACUGAGGCUCGAAAGCGUGGGGAGCAAACAGGAUUA